rnacentral:rRNA from 1 species
GACUACAGGGGUAUCUAAUCCUGUUUGCUCCCCACGCUUUCGCACCUCAGCGUCAGUAUCAGUCCAGCGAGUCGCCUUCGCCACUGGUGUUCCACCGAAUAUCUACGAAUUUCACCUCUACACUCGGUAUUCCACUCGCCUCUCCUGACCUCCAGGCUUGCAGUUUAGAAGGCAGUUCCAGGGUUGAGCCCUGGGAUUUCACCCCCUACUUACAAACCCGCCUACGUGCGCUUUACGCCCAGUAAUUCCGAACAACGCUAGCCCCCUUCGUAUUACCGCGGCUGCUGGCACGAAGUUAGCCGGGGCUUCUUCUCCGGUUACCGUCAUUAUCUUCACCGGCGAAAGAGUUUUACAACCCUAAGGCCUUCUUCACUCACGCGGCAUGGCUGGAUCAGGCUUGCGCCCAUUGUCCAAGAUUCCCCACUGCAGCCCCCCGUAGG